AUACAUAUAGGUUUAUUAUGUCACCUGCAAUAAUUUACGCUAGGAAUAUUUAGUCCAUAUGGAACAAUUUUUACUAUGAGAUCAAUCCCGAAAUCAGAAAAAAAUAUGUUUCUCCCAUAUAAAAUAUCAACAUCAGACUAGCCAAGAUGUAUGAAACGGCCAAUUUCACGAUUUCGGGCUUGGUCCCGUAGUAAAAAUUGUUCGGUAUGACCUAUACACGGUACUAACACGAGGAAACCGAAAGAUUUCAAAGCCUGACCAGGAAUAUAUGAUCAUUGUCAAGAGCGCGCUAUUUUUCUCAUUUAUAUGGCAACAGUUCAGCAUAGUCUGAACAAUGUAAAUUGGCAACUCGUUAUUUUGACUUACAGACUUUUAUUCACCGUAAUCAAAAUCAGAAUCCAAAUAAUUGGUGUCCACAUUUUUUUAAUCGUCUGUACUUGUUUUUUCCGUAUAAAAUUCAUGUAUUUUCUUACGUAUCACACAUAGGUCAAAAUAGUCUUAGUGUAUCUUCUUUUUUAUUUUUGGUUUGCUUUUCAUGGCAGCCUAAAAUCUUAGGAGGAACGACCUUCUCUCGUAGUUCGCGUAAUCGAUGACCCUGAUUUAUCUAGAAAUUUUAUUAAUGACUAUAAUUACUGCAGAUAGUUACCUAUAUUUGUGUACAUGCCAUAUGGUGUGGCCACUAUUAGCUACACCAUCAGCUCAGCUCAGCUCUAUAGCUUAUUAUUUCGUCUAUCAUGUUACUACAUCCAAGAUUGGCUCACAAAAAGGCUACCAUGAUGUUAGUUGGUAGGUAUAUUCCGUAACCUUACAUAGGUUCUGGUACAUAGUCAAUGAAUAAGAUUGAUCGUAUCCAAAGCCUAGUAAAUAUUUUUCAAACACAUUUUUGUUACUGUAAGUAUUUCGUCGCUUGUAUAACAUGUCGUCUUAUGGUACCCAUGGUCCAGAGGGCCUUCGUGAGACAUUGCCAUGCGCUCCUGUCCUGUGCUUCGCGCUCCGCGUCCCUCCAACUCAGUCCGGCUGCCCGCAAUUGUAUAACACAGUACUACAAUAACCAAGUCGUAAUAACCAGACUAUAAUGCCAUUUUGAUUUGUUUACCUGUCAGCUCUGAUGUUAAUUUGGAAAUGUUUCGUAGCGAAAUAGUAUAAUUUCCCGAAAGGUUCUUUUCCAGCAGUUUAUUAUUUACAUCAUUUACAAUGUUUCGAUCUUGAUUUUGUAUAGUUUUGGGCAUUUUUUUCAUUUAUUAUUUAAUAUUCAACACUUAAGUAUUAUUCAAAUAAACCGCCACAAUGACAUUGCCAACGGUGACAACCUAUCAUUAAAAUUAUUGCCAGUGUAAGAAAUUAGUUCCAAUGAAAUUCCGCAACAUGGCGCAUGACCAUAUAUUCCUGGUCAGGCUUUAACAGUGUAUUCUUGAUCACAUUUGAUACAUAUCAAAGAUAAUUUGAAAUAGAGGUAGAUUGUUAAAAAAAACUUUGUAGCCACAAUAAAUUUACAGCCAUCUUUCGACACAUGAAUAAAACUUUUAGAACGCCAUUUGACUUUGAUCCUUAUUAUUUCACUGAUGUGUUAAAUUUGUAAAAUAUCAAAAAGUGGCGCCAUCUAAUAGAUCAAAGUUAUGGGACGACAUCGUUUCGAGCGAUGGCGCCAUAAUCUUUAAGGUUGUGCCCGGUAAGAUAGCGCCAUAACAAAAUACAUUUAACAUGUAACAUGUGUUUUUUUUUUGAUAUUUAACAAAUUUAACACAUAUCAGUGAAAGAAUAAGGAUCAAAGUCAAAUGGCGUUCUAAAAGUUUUAAUCAUGUGUCGAAAGAUGGCAGUAAAUUUACGUGGCUGCAAAGUUUUCUAUGACAAUACACCAUUACUUCAAAUUCUGUUUGAUAUAUAUACGUAUUUUUAUGUAAGGGCGCCAUCUAGCGUUAGAACUUUUAACCUUCUCUAAGAGCUCACUAGAUGUCGCCAAUAAAUAAGAAUUUAGAUCUAUAUUUGUGUUUAUUACAGCGGUAUGGAAAUUCCAAUUUUACGUUUAGAAGUAAUAAAUAGCAGUAAGGUGACAGUUUUAAUGAACACAAAGCUAAAAGGCAUAAAUGGUAGAUGAGCCACCUACAACUAUAUAUGGGCAUGCGGUAGAUUAUAGGUAUUCUAUAUUGUCUAUACUCGAAUUGCAAUAUCUGGUCAUCAUCAUUAUAGGUAUACCAGCCAACAGUACAUCUUGAAGUCAAGGGUUACGUUCUUUCGGAAAAUAACAUUUAAACGCUUAACACACCUAACUCAAUUCAGUCGUCCUAACUAGGAUCCUAAAAAAAUAUUACUAGUUAGUGCAGAAUGUUUCUUACUAAACGCGGUAACACCUUUACGAUUUAGGAUUCUGAAUCAGUUCUGAAUUAAGUAAGAUGUGUGAAGCCUAUAUACCUUACGGUAGGCUGAACAAACUAAAGAUCUAGAAUCUAAGCUUUAAAGGUACAAGUUGGAAUCCGGCGACGUGAGGCGAUUGCAGACGACGUCGCCGCGUCACGCUUGGUUUCUAUGUAAAGCCCGACCAGAAAUAUAUGAUCAUUGUCAAGAGGGAGCUGUUAUUCUCAUAUAUAGGGUGACAGUUCAGUUUAGUAUGAAAAAUUUAGUUCCAUGAAAUUCCGCAAUAUAACGCGUGAUCAUAUAUUAGUGGUCAGGCUUUAUUUCUAUGAAAUACCAUUGGAACUCAGCGACACGAAGCCGAGCCCGACUGCAGGUCAGUAUGCCGCUGAGUGAUGGAGAGACAUAAAGCGUAUCGUUGUCGAUUAAUUGUCACUUUGGCUAGGCCGGCUGAGCACUCGGCUGAGGACACUCUCCCGCCACCCGUACUCGGUACGUGUGAUCAAAGAGUAAAGUGAGUAUAUAGGAACGUGUGAUCAAGGCAUAAGUCCACAGAUUGGAACAGCCAAGAUUGGAAGUAGUGCAACAACAGUUAGAAAAAGCUUAAGAGUUGUUUGUUGUUGCCAAGUUGGCAGCGAUUUUGAUAGCGUAAAUUGUGCAAGUGAUAUUUAAACGUCAUAAUUUCAUAGAAGUUUGACGUUUAAAAUCACUUGCACAGUCUGGGCUAGCAAAAUCGCUGCCAACUUAGCUUGGUCUAACUCUACACACUACUAGAGUUAGACCAAGAUAAGUGCAACAAUUUUGAUAGCACACGUAGUGCCAGUAUAGUACCAGUGUUAUUUUAAACGUCAAACAUAUGAAAUUAUGACUUAUUCAUUUCACACUCACAACAGUUGCAUACGCACACUUGCGUAUAAAUAACACUUGCACUGCUUGUGCUAUCAAAAUCGUUGCAGACUUGUCUUGGACAAACUCUGCACUACAUACAUCUCUCGUGAAUAGGCGGGUCUUAUCGGGAACAAAUUAUAUGUAUAUAUCUAGCGAACUUAACCCAAUUUAAAUUUCGGAGGCUGAACUAACCUAAAGGGGCUCAACUAAUAUUUAUAAAAUAUGAAAAUUUGGAUUUGAGGAUACCAGACCUAGAUUGCUUUACCGGCGCACGUAGUGAUUAUAUGCUCUUUGACCGGCGCUAUAGCAACGAUUUUAAGCGUUCUUGGAGGGAAUAUUACGGGAAACUCUGCGUAGGGGGCGCCACUACCACAAAACACAAUUCAUCACAAUCUGAGGGGUCUACCGCCAAACAAGAAAAUCAAAAUUACGUUAUCUAGCCUCUCUAUCACUCUUAUAUAUUCGAGCGAUAAAGAGGCAGAUAAAGCCCGACCAGAAAUAUAUGAUUAUUGUCAAGAGGGCGCUGUUAUUCUCAUGUAUAGGGUGACAGUUCAGUUUAAUAUGAAAAAUUGUGUUCUAAUGAAAUUCCGCAAUAUGGCGCGUGAUCAUAUAUUACUGGUCAGCAACUGGUCAGGCUUUAACUAAAUUUCGUUUUUCGCGUUUCCCGGUAGGCCCUUUGGAAACAAACCGCCUUGAUGCAUUAAUGUCAUAUUUUAUUAUCAGUGAAAACUUGUCAAAAAACAGUUGUAUAAGUUAGUCUAUGGUUCACGAAAAGUGCUAGUGCUGCACUCUGGCGGCAGAACAAUGCAGUAAUACUCCCUAUAAAUGGUUCACCGUCUAAAAUCUGCGUUUGGAACUGGCAGCUAAUGACAUGUGGCUUACGUCUCACUGAAGUUCUUUAUUCAACUUCUAUCACAUCCGUCAUUAUUCAUCUUAUCCGUGUAUGUUUGGUUAACAUUUUAACGUAAAUUAAUUUAUUGUAGUAAUUCCUCAUAAAAAUUAUAUUAGUUAAGUUAAACACUUCAUGUCCCUUAUUAGAUUGUAAUGGAGUGUAAGGCAAGUGAAAGUAAGAAAUUGUUUCAAGUGUUCGAUGCAUCAAAACGUAAGCGUGCAAAAAAGAAAAGGGAAGAAGAGGGCAGGUCCUUAGCGCGUUCUGCUAGUGACGGGUCUACAAGCCAGGGUCAAAUUCGUGUGGUAUCAGCUAAAGCCAGUCUACAAGAAACUGUUCCUUCGAAAACUGAUGCUUUUCCGAGUCACGAUGAGAGGACUGCCGACAGUAGCCCGUCACUCCGGUCUCAGAGUUCGCCGCGCCGCCACCGACGUCCCAG